rnacentral:lncRNA from 1 species
UUAACAGAUCACGGGGUGAUCUCAUCGUAUAUAUUACGAUUCAAUUCUAUGACUAUGAUCGUUUUUUUUUACGAUCUCCUAUCACUGAACUUUUAGUCUUUUAGACUUUAUCUAUUCACCACUUUUGUACAACCUUAUUACCAGAGUUAGGGAACUCUGUAUCUUUACAACUUACCGAGAUUCGUCUUUGAAUCUUUUCGACACACUAACUCGAUUUGAGUUAGUACUUAAUCCUAAUCACUGCGGUUAUUGGUCUCAAGUAUUACUACCUAAGAUUCAUAACCAACAGCUUUGAUACCAACUGUAGCGUCCCCCGAAUCCCAGCCCCAAAUCG